GAUGAAGAACGUAGCGAAAUGCGAUAAGUAAUGUGAAUUGCAGAAUCCAGUGAAUCAUCGAAUCUUUGAACGCACAUUGCGCCCGCCAGCAUUCUGGCGGGCAUGCCUGUUCGAGCGUCAUUUCAACCCUCGACCUCCCCUUGGGGAGGUCGGCGUUGGGGACCGGCAGCACACCGCCGGCCCUGAAAUGGAGUGGCGGCCCGUCCGCGGCGACCUCUGCGUAGUAAUACAGCUCGCACCGGAACCCCGACGCGGCCACGCCGUAAAACACCCAACUCUUCUGAAGUUGACCUCGAAUCAGGUAGGAAUACCCGCUGAACUUAAGCAUAUCAAUAAGCGGAGGA
rnacentral:misc_RNA from 1 species